AAUUGGAAUGAGUACAAUGUAAAAACCUUAACGAGGAACAAUUGGAGGGCAAGUCUGGUGCCAGCAGCCGCGGUAAUCCCAGCUCCAAUAGCGUAUAUUAAAGUUGUUGCAGUUAAAAAGCUCGUAGUUGGAUUUUGGGAUAAGCUUGUUGGGCCGCCGCGAGGUGUUUGCCCCGACGAGGGUAUCCUUCCUCUCGAAAUUGGCGUGUGCGCUUAAUUGAGUGUGCGUCGAGUUUGGGACUUUUACUGUGAAAAAAUUGGAGUGUUCAAAGCAGGCUAUCGCUUGAAUAUUUCAGCAUGGAAUAAUGGAAUAGGACGUUGGUUCUAUUUUGUUGGUUUCUAGGACCGAAGUAAUGAUUAAUAGGGAUAGUUGGGGGCAUUAGUAUUUAAUUGUCAGAGGUGAAAUUCUUGGAUUUAUGAAAGACUAACUUCUGCGAAAGCAUUUGCCAAGGACGUUUUCAUUAAUCAAGAACGAAAGUUAGGGGAUCGAAGAUGAUCAGAUACUGUCGUAGUCCUAACCAUAAACUAUGCCGACUAGGGAUUGGU
rnacentral:rRNA from 1 species